CUUUAAAACUUACGCAGUUGACAUUCAUUUCCGUUUGAUAUCGUGACCUGUUUCCAUCCAGGUCAUUGUGUUUCUGUAAAUCAAAAAGAACUGUACAAUUUCAGGUAUUUUGCUUCUGUUAGUUUGAAUGUAUCCAUCUUAUGUCAUGGGAUUCAUGUGCAAAAGGGUAACACUGAGACGGAACUAAUGAGAACAGUUGGGCCAACAA